GGGGAGAAGAGGCUCAGGCAUGGCGGGCUGCAGGUCCGGAGCCCUGCCCCGCGGGGAGGCACCUAAGGCCCCGCGAGAAAUCGAGCGCAGCGCCGGUAGGCUGGCACUGCUGGGGGACCCAGCGCACCCUCCUCAGCUGCUGGCCCGGUUGCUAAACCCUGCUGGUCCGGGUGCUAAGCUCCUCAUUGCCCAGGGAGGCGGGGCCCGCCAAACCCACGCCAACCCGGAACUCUAGCUGGCCCGCAAGGGCUACGCGCAGCCCCGGUUCCUGCCCGUGCCUCUCCCUCCGCACUUCCCCUCAGGCUGAGGGAGCUGGCUCCUGCCUCGGCCAUCCCAGGAAGAGGCUCCCACAGUGCAGCGACGGGCUGAAGGGCUCCUCAGGCGCGGCCAGAGUGGGCGCCCAGGCCGAGGAGGCGCCAAGAGCGAGCGAGGGCUGCGACGACUGCCAGCAUGCUGUCACCUCUCACUAUGACUGUCUGGGAUCUGCUUUAUAAAUAAACAAGCUUCCUACAAUUAUCCUCAUCUCAUGGAAAAACUAGACAGAGGAAAAGAAAAGAGGCAAAUGGAGCUUCCUUUGCUAAGAGCUCAAAUAACUCUCCUCUACAUAGUCUUCUUCAAACAAAAACACAAAGCUAAUUUUCCAUUUACUCUUUGAGAGUUCCACAGAAAAACAAAAAAACCAAGUGACAUUAAUUGAUACUGGACACAAUCUGUGAUAUCAGUGAUUAAGUUGGAGUUAUGCAAGUGGAUCAUUUGCCACCAACCAGAAAAUAAGGAUUCCUUUCAAGUGGAUGUGGGAUAUGAAUAUUUUUUGGCACAAGACAGUAGUUCAAUUGGUAAAAAUUUCAUCAAUGGUGACUUUGGAGAAUGUCAUGUUGCAGGUGAAUGUCCUAACCAGGACAAUAUUCAUGCAUUUGAAAAAUCCAGCGUGAGAAACAUAGAAAGGCUAAGGUCAGAGAUCUGCUUGGGAAAACUUGAGGCAUUAAAAUAUUGGAAGAGGACAUCUGGGUAAAUUUCCCCAAGGAUCUACAACUUGAGAGCCUAAAGAAUUGACCCACCAUUCUCUAUGAAGAGCUAGACAUUUUCUCAUGCAAGAAGAUACUUCAGAGGCCACUUUCACAUAAGAUAAAUGGAAGAAGACCAUCACCAGAGAUGAAUGGACAUUUGAUAUUACCAAGAAUAUGCAUAAUGACUUGGAAGUUACCAUUUGAACAAUUGACAUUCUUGAGCAUCUUAGGUUGGAUUUCCUAGGAACAGAACCUGUGACAGGAAUUCAGGUGGAGCUGUUUUAGGCUGGGUGCUGUGGCCCAGGCCUGGAAUCCCAGCACUUCAGAAGGCCAAGGCAGGAGAAUCGCUUGAGCCCAGGAGUUCAAGAGCAGCCUGGGCAACAUGUUGAAACAUCAUCUCUAUACAAAUAUACGCACAAAAAUUAGCUGGACAUGGUGGUGUGCACCUGUAGUCCUAACUACUCAGGAAGCUGUGGUGGAAGAAUCACUUGAGCCCAGGAGGUCGAGCCUGCAAUAAGCUGUGAUUGCACCACUGCACUCCAGCGUGGAUGACAGAGCAAGACACCCUGUCUCAAAAAAAAGACUAUACAACAGAGCUCUGAAAAAGAUCACACUUUCAGGCUCAAGGAGCUCUCUUGUUCCUUCCACCAUCUGAGAACACAGUGAGAAGUCCCCAGGCUUCAACCUGAAAAAGGGCCCUCAUCAGAACCUGAUCAUCAGAACUUGGCACCCCAAUCUUUGUCUUCUGAUCUACAUUGUGACCUAAGUCAGAACGGGGCCAUAGCAGGCAUAAAAGCAACAAUUUAUCAAACUGCCUGAGGGAAUGAUGUAAAAAAUGCUCAUCAAGAAUAUCCAUCUGGACAGGACAAAAAAUGACGCUGAGAGGACUUUGGAGAGUUUCUACCCAGUUUUCCUAAAUUCCAGGAAGUUUUCUUAGUAGAAAUGAUGAUGACUGAAAGCUACUUCAUUUCUGGGAUACUUGAGACUUCUGGUCUGCAUAUGUGACUGUAGGAAGAAAUAAAUAAUUUAUGUUUUGGAAAAACCCUAAUUACCUAAAGAUGACUCUCAUGGAGUAAAAGGGAAAUGGGCAUUUGUCUUGUUUUCCCAAACUCUUUCAGUACUCAGUGAAUAAAAAUUAAGGUAACAACAUGAAUUCAGAAGGGCUUCUUAUUUGAGCUCUCUUACCUGUGCAGACUUAUAUUAUUGUGUGUGUGACAGGCAUUUUCCUUAUUUUAUUUUAUACAAUGUGUGUGAAUAAAUUUUUAUACAACUUCUUUUAUUAAAGGCAGAGAAUGCUUCAGCUUACCUUUGUAUUAUCUACAUUUUGGAAACAGAAUGAAUAUUCAAAUGUUGAAUUAGCUCGAAU
ensembl:lncRNA novel transcript